AGGAGGAACAACCGCAGUGGCAGCAGCCAGCUCUGGAGCCCUGGAUUCAGCUCCCGCAGUAACUACAGAGCUCUCGGUCAGCAGGGGUCUGGGGGCUCCGGAGUGGG
rnacentral:pre_miRNA from 1 species